rnacentral:lncRNA from 1 species
GAGGUUAGAAGCUGAGAGAAGGGAACUCUCUCUGAAGAGACUCAGCUUGCCAAAGCUGAGAUGAAAAAAUUCAGCCUUGGAAGCUGAAGUAGAGCUCAGGACCUGAACUGGUGGGUCUCUCUGAACACUAGAAUCUUGCUUGGGACAAAUCUUAUGCUUUGACCUGCAAACACAUCAUACAUAGACAAAAUGGGGCUCUGAAGGAUGCCUGAAUCCCAUGGAGAUGAAAAAUGUAAAUACAAAAAGCUACUGGUGACAUAUUACUCUUCUUGGCAUAUGGAAGACAGCAAAGAGAGAAAAGAGUGGCUGUUGUUUGGAAGGAGAAUCCCCCUCCAUAAGGACCUUAGGUAUCCAAGGAAUUAUCUGAAGACUUCGGAUAGGAGUGUAAAAGUUAAAAUUAAAUCUCAAUAAUAAUAUUUAUUUUAAGUGAUUUAUUAAUGAUCAUUAGAAAUCAAGGAAUAUAGAAGAUACAAAAUAAAGACCAUGUGCCCAUGGCCGGUUAGCCA